rnacentral:rRNA from 1 species
GAUGAACGCUGGCGGCGUGCCUAAUACAUGCAAGUCGAGCGGAGAUUGAAAAGCUUGCUUUUCAAUCUUAGCGGCGGACGGGUGAGUAACACGUAAACAAUCUACCUUGUAGACUGGGAUAACAUCGAGAAAUCGGUGCUAAUACCGGAUAACAACUUUAUCCGCAUGGGUAAAGUUUGAAAGUUGGCUUCGGCUAACACUACGAGAUGAGUUGGCGGCGCAUUAGCUAGUUGGUGAGGUAACGGCUAACCAAGGCGACGAUGCGUAGCCGACCUGAGAGGGUGAUCGGCCACACUGGGACUGAGACACGGCCCAGACUCCUACGGGAGGCAGCAGUAGGGAAUCUUCCGCAAUGGACGAAAGUCUGACGGAGCAACGCCGCGUGAGUGAUGAAGGCCUUCGGGUCGUAAAGCUCUGUUGUUAGGGAAGAACAAGUAGUAUUCGAAUAGGGUGCUACCUUGACGGUACCUAACCAGAAAGCCACGGCUAACUACGUGCCAGCCGCCGCCGUAAGAC